AAUGAGAAACUGGAACUAAAAUUCAGUUUGCUUAGUGUAACCAGAAACCCCUAAGUUCACAUAAACUAAAGGAGUGUCACAGAACAAGGAACUCUGUUCAUUUUAACUAUGAUACUUGACUUUCUUUAAACAAUAUUCUGUGAAAAUUACUACAGUGACUGGAGAAUUGUUUACGGAAUAAUUUUACUUUAUGAUCCUCAGUAAAAAUAUGGCCUUGUCUUUCUACAACUGCUGUAUUCUAAUUCCCACAGGAAGCACAGUAUAUAACAGGAAAAGAAAACUACAUGGGGAGUAAGAAGACCUAAGUUGGAAUCCCAGCUCUGCCCCUGACUUCCUUCCUAUGUAAGCCUAAACAUGUCAGCAUAUAGGCAAUGGCUGGAAAAUUUCCUCUACCACAUCUUGGAAUCCAAGCUGAUAACAAGAGAAAGAAACCAGUUCGGAUUCCAGGGCCUGAAAUGAAGGCACGCUGGCCGGCUUUUCAGAUUGAAUCCAAGCCCCCCUGCAUCACUUAUUUCAAGACCAAAGCAUAUCAGAAAUGUUGGAGUAAUAAUAAAACCUUAGUUUUAUAAUUCAUAUACAACUAUUUCCUUGGACAGGACAUAUUCUCCUUUCUCUCAAGGGAAAUGUAUGUCUCAACUUUAAGAAGUGUAAUUGUUUGGUGCAAUUGUUUGGCAACUACAAAAGAAUGAAAAGGAAUUAAAGUAAUCUAAAAUAGA